rnacentral:rRNA from 1 species
AUACGUAGGGGACGAGCGUUGUCCGGAAUUACUGGGCGUAAAGGGCGCGCAGGCGGAUAUUUAAGUCAGCUGUAAAAGGCAUGAGCUCAACUCAUGUAUGCGGUUGAAACUGGGUAUCUAGAGUGCUGGAGAGGUAGGCGGAAUUCCCGGUGUAGCGGUGAAAUGCGUAGAUAUCGGGAAGAACACCAGUGGCGAAGGCGGCUUACUGGCCAGCAACUGACGCUGAGGCGCGAAAGCCAGGGGAGCGAACGGGAUUAGAUACCCUGGUAGUCCUGGCCGUAAACGAUGAAUGCUAGGUGUGGGUGUCGAGAGGCAUCCGUGCCGGAGUUAACGCGAUAAGCAUUCCGCCUGGGGAGUACGAUCGCAAGAUUGAAACUCAAAUGAAUUGACGGGG